rnacentral:rRNA from 1 species
AAUAGUCGCACUGUUCUUUCUUUCUCUUCGGGGUUGGAGGAACAAUUGUCGAUCAGUCGGUUUCGGAGCGUGCACACUGGUACCCGAAAGAUGGUGAACUAUGCUUGAGCAGAAUGAAGCCAGAGGAAACUCUGGUGGAAGUUCGUAGCGGUGUUGACGUGCAAAUCACUCGUCUGACUUGAGUGUAGGGGCGAAAGACUAAUCGAACCAUCUAGUUGCUGGUUCCUUCCGAAGUUUCCCUCAGGAUAGCUGGCAUUUGUGUGUAACAAUUUUAUCCGGUAGAGCGAAUGAUUAGAGGUGUUGGGAACGCAAUGUUCUCAGCCUAUUCUCAAACUUCGAAUGGGUAAGCAAGGCGAUUUGCUUUGAUCUGUUGAUGAAAUCGCCCAACUUUUUUGUGUUGAAGAAUGUAUAAAUGCCUAGUGGGCCAAUUUUGGUAAGCAGAACUGGCGAUGUGGAAUGAACCAAAAGUCAGGUUAAGGUGCCAGACAUUGGCGCUCAUGAAAUACCAGAAAAGGUGUUGGUCGAUAUAGACAGCAGGACGGUGGCCAUGGAAGUUGGAAUCCGCCAAGGAGUGUGUAACAACUCACCUGCCGAAUCGACUAGCCCUGAAAAUGGAUAGCGUUUGAGCGCCAGGCCCAUACCUGACCGUCUCAGUUACGCACUUUUGUUGUUUCAAUGAUGAAGGUGUAAUGAACGUUGAGACGGGUAGGAAGGUCGCGACAGUGUUGCUUUGAAGAGUUUUGAGCGUGAGCUCGCUCGGAGCCGCUGUUGGUGCAGAUCUUGGUGGUAGUAGCAAAUAUUCAAGUGAGAACCUUGAAGGCUGAAGUGGAGCAAGGUUCCAUGUGAACAGCAGUUGGACAUGGGUCAGUCGAUCCUAAGAAAACGGCGAAAGCUUGUUCGAAUUUACGACAUAAAAAAUGUAAAACUGUGUGUGUGUAGUGUGCUUGUGUGUGUACUAUACUGAUAUAGCAGUAGUGGUGGUGGUGGUUUGUCAGUCAGCAGUGUAGUGUUUGUCUGUGGCAGUGCUGCUGCUGCUGCUGCUGCUGCUGCUGCUAUUGUUUACUUGCUGUUGUUGUGUGUUGUUGUACACACACACCCACACAAUUCUGUGUGCAGUUGUCGUAUGUUUUCGAAAGGGAAUCCGGUUGAUAUUCCGGAACCGAGUAACGGAGACAAAGAGUAGCGCUUUAAUCUUCCGGUUGGCGUUCAACUCAAUCGCGCGGUAACGCAAGCGAACUCGGAAAAUGACCGUCGUGAGUUUCGAAAAGAGUUUUCUUUUCUUUUUAAGGGACGCAUUCCCUGGAACCGGGUUGUCCGGAGAUAGGGAUUCUGGUAUCCAUAAAACGCCGACUCUUUCACGGUGUUCGGAGCGCUCUCGUCGGUACGUGAAAAUCCGAGCGACGCCUGGUAAAUCUCGUACUUGGUCGUACUGAUAUCCGCAGCAGGUCUCCAAGGUGAAUAGCCUCUGGCCGAUAGAAUAAUGUAGGUAAGGGAAGUCGGCAAAACGGAUCCGUAACUUCGGAACAAGGAUUGGCUCUAAGGGCUGGGCCGAUCGGGCUGAGGUUUCAAGCGUGCAGUGUAUGCUUGGCUGAGCUGUGCUGAGGAUUGAUUAGCUUGGUGCCGUUUGUUGACCCAAGCGGCUGUCCAGGUGGUCAUGUCUGAAGCAAAGCUGGCCGACAGACCGGCACGUGCAGAACCUGAGCUGCGCGGCUGUCAGUUUAUUUGUACAGACCGUUUCGGUCGGCAUUCAACAGCCAACUUAGAACUGGCACGGACACAAGGAAUCUGACUGUAUAAUUAAAACAAAGCAUUGCGAUGGCCGAUGAUCGGUGUUGACGCAAUGUGAUUUCUGCCCAGUGCUCUGAAUGUCAAAGUGAAGAAAUUCAACCAAGCGCGGGUAAACGGCGGGAGUAACUAUGACUCUCUUAAGGUAGCCAAAUGCCUCGUCAUCUAAUUAGUGACGCGUAUGAAUGGAUCAACAAGAUUCCUUCUGUCCCUAUCUACUAUCUAGCGAAACCACAGCCAAGGGAACGGGCUUGGCAAAAUCAGCGGGGAAAGAAGACCCUGUUGAGCUUGACUCUAGUCUGACUCUGUGAAGAGACAUGAAAGGUGUAGCAUAGGUGGGAGGCUGCAGCCGGGCACUGCUUGCGCGGUGUCUCUGUGGUCGCCAAUGAAAUACCACUACUUUGAUCGUUUCUUUACUUAUUCGGUAAAGCGAAAAAAUUGUGGCCAAUUUUGCGGUCUCGCCGCUGUUGGUCAUUGUUUUAAUGUUGGAUUGAAGCUUCGUUUGUAGCCGUCGUUUUGUGUCGCCGUUUGACGUGCAUUCGCAGUGGUGUGGGUUUCUUGGCUCGCGCGCGGCUAGUGUCGUCAACAGCGGACGACCGGCGAUUGGUUUGAAGUGAUUCGCUCCGGAAACAGUGUCAGACGGGGAGUUUGACUGGGGCGGUACAUCUGUUAAACGAUAACGCAGGUGUCCUAAGGUAAGCUCAGCGAGGACAGAAACCUCGCCUAGAGUAAACGGGCACAAGCUUACUUGAUUUUGAUUUCCAGUACGAAUAAAAACCGCGAAAGCGUGGCCUAUCGAUCCUUUUGAUUGUGUAGAUUUCACGCAAGAGGUGUCAGAAAAGUUACCACAGGGAUAACUGGCUUGUGGCAGCCAAGCGUCCAUAGCGACGUUGCUUUUUGAUCCUUCGAUGUCGGCUCUUCCUAUCAUUGCGAAGCAGAAUUCGCCAAGCGUUGGAUUGUUCACCCACCAAUAGGGAACGUGAGCUGGGUUUAGACCGUCGUGAGACAGGUUAGUUUUACCCUACUGAUGACAAGUCGUUGCGAUAGUAAUCCUGCUCAGUACGAGAGGAACCGCGGGAUCAGACAUUUGGUUCAUGCGCUCGGCUGAAAGGCCGGUGGCGCGAAGCUAGCAUCUGCAAGAUUAUGACUGAACGCCUCUAAGUCAGAAUCUUUUCUAGUCAUUGG